UCAGACAGCCUAAUUGAUGGCUUUGCUGACCUAACAAUACCUUGUGAAAGCCGAGUGCUAGAGCCUGGUCUCCAUUUAUGACCAGCUGCAAGGGGAAGCUGGGUCUCCCUAUCACGGGGAGUCUAGGGAAAGGGGGAAAGUCUUCCAGCCUGAACUUUAACCAGAUUCCUACUUGUGCAAGAAGCAGAAGCACAAUUUGAAGUUAAUAGAAGCUUUCUCAUGGAGAACUUUAUUCCCUCUCUGAGCUCUUCUAGCAAGUUGUCUUGGAGUUGACUACGCAGUGACGACGGAGAUUACCCAGUCAACUAUUUUUGAACACUGAAAGGGAAAAUCACCUUUAAAUUGAAAAGAUAAUUUUCAGAAGAGAUUUGACUGUGUUUUGUGCUCCUCAGCAUUCAUGCAAAGGUGUUCGCAGAGUACAGAAACGGAGUAUGAUGACUGGACUUCUCUGUUCUCUUUCAGGUUUAUUAAUGCCAGAAGAAGAAUAGUACAGCCCAUGAUUGACCAGUCAAAUCGAGCAGGUUUUCUUCUUGAUCCUUCAGUGAGCCAAGGAGCAGCAUAUAGUCCAGAGGGUCAGCCCAUGGGGAGCUUUGUGUUGGAUGGUCAGCAACACAUGGGGAUCCGGCCUGCAGGACCUAUGAGUGGAAUGGGCAUGAAUAUGGGCAUGGAUGGGCAAUGGCACUACAUGUAACCUUCAUCAUGUAAAGCAAUCGCAAAGCAAGGGGGAAGUAAGUACAG
rnacentral:sRNA from 1 species